CCUACGGGCGGCAGCAGUGAGGAAUAUUGGUCAAUGGACGCAAGUCUGAACCAGCCAAGUAGCGUGAAGGAUGACUGCCCUAUGGGUUGUAAACUUCUUUUAUUUGGGAAUAAAAUGUUCCACGUGUGGGCUUUUGUAUGUGCCCUAUGAAUAAGAGUACGGUAACUCCGUGCCAGCAGCCGCGGUAUUACGGAGGAGCCGCGCGUUAUCCGGGUUUAUUGGGUUUAAAGGGAGCGUAGGGGGACGGUUAAGUCAGUUGUGAAAGUUUGCGGCUCAACCGUAAAAUUGCAGUUGAAACUGGCAGUCUUGAGUACACUAAGGGAGGGCGGAAUUCGUGGUGUAGCGGUGAAAUGCUUAGAUAUCAUGAAGAACUCCGAUCGCGAAGGCAGGUGACUGGAGUGCAACUGACACUGAGGCUCGAAAGUGCGGGUAUCAAACAGGAUUAGAUACCCCAGUAGUC
rnacentral:rRNA from 1 species